UUUCUGCACACCCUCUCCAGCAUUUGUUAUUUGUAGAUUUACUAAUGAUGGACAUUCUGACCGGUGUGAAAGGCACUUCAUUGUAGUUUUGAUUUGCAUUUCUCUAAUAAUUAGUAAUGUUGAGUACUUUCAUGUGUCUUUUGGCCAUCUGCAUGUCUUCUUUGGAGAAAUGUCUAUUCAGGUCUUUUCCCUAUUUUUCAAUGGGUUGUUUGUAUUUUUGCCAUUGAGUUGUAUGAGUUGUUUGUAUAUUUUGGAGGUUAAGCCCAUGUUGGUUACAUUGUUUGAAACUGUUUUCUCCCAUUCUGUACGUUUUUUUUUUUUUUUUAUGGUUUCCUUUGCUGUGCAAAAGUUCGAAAGUUUGAUUAGGUCCCAUUGGUUUAUUUUUGUUUUUAUUUCUAUUGCUUUGUGAGACUGACCUAAGAAAACAUUUGUAUGGUUGAUGUCAGAGAAUGUUUUGCCUAUAUUCUCUUUUAGGAUUUUUAUGGUAUCUUGUCUUAGUUUAAGUCUUUAAGCCAUUUUGAGUUUAUUUUUGUGCAUGGUAUGAAGGUGUGUUCCAGUUUCAUUGAUUUACAUGCAGCUAUCCAGUUUUCCCAGCACCACUUCCUGAGGAGACUUGUCUUUUUCCCAUUUAACAUUCUUGCCUCCUUUGUCAAAGAUUACUUGCCCAUAGUUGUCUGGGUUUAUUUCUGGGUUCACUGUUCUAUUCCAUUAGUUCGUAUGUCAGUUUUGGUACCAGUACCAUGCGGUCUUGAUUACUGCGACUUUGUAGUAUUGCCUGAAGUCUGGGAGAGUUAUACUUCUUGCUUGGUCUUUGUUUCUCAGGAUUUCUUUGGAUAUUCUGGGUCUUUUAUGAUUACAUAUAAAUUUUUGGAUUGUUUGUUCUACUUCUGUGAAAAAUAUCAUGGAUAAUUCAAUAGGGAUUGCAUAGAAUUUAGAGAUUGCUUUUGGUAGUAUGAUCAUUUUAAUGAUAUUAAUUCUUCCAAUCCAGGAGCAUGGAAUAUCUUUCCAUAUCUUUGAAUCCCCUUUAAUUUCCUUCAUUAAUGUUUUAUAGUUCUCACAUAUGUCUUUCACCUCCUUGGUCAGGUAUAUUCCUAGGUAUUUAAUUUUUGGGGUGUGAUUUUAAAAGGUAUUGUAUUUUUACAUUCCUUUUCUAACAUUUCAUUGUCAGUAUACAGAAAUGCAACCAAUUUUUGAAUGUUAAUCUUGUAUCCUUCUACUUUGCUGAAUUCAUUGACCAGUUUGAGUAGUUUUUGUGUGGAGUCCUUAGGGUUUUCUCCAUAUAGUAUCAUGUCAUCUGCAUAGAGUGACAGUUUUACCUCUUCUCUUCCUAUUUGGAUACCUUUUAUUUCUUUUGUUUGUCUGAUUGCUGUGGCUAGGACUACAAACACUAUGUUGAAUAAAAAUGGUAAGAGUAGGCAUCCUUGUCUUGUUCCAGUUUUGAGUGAGAAAGCUUUCAGCUUUUCUCUGUUGAGUAUUGUAUUGGCUGUGGGUUUGUCAUAAGUGGCUUUUAUUAUGUUAAGGUAUGUUUCCUCUAUACCCACUUUGGUGAGAGUUUUUAUCAUUAAUGGAUGUUGGAUUUUGUCAACUGCUUUCUCUGUAUUUAUUGAGAUGAUUAUGUGGUUUUUGACUUUUGUUAAUUUGGUGUAUGACAUUAAUUGAUUUACAUCUGUUAAACCAUCCUUUGAGCUUGGAAUGAAUCCCACCUGGUCAUGGUGUAUGAUCUUUUUUAUAUAUUGGAUUCAGUUGGCUAAAAUUUUGUUGAGAAUUUUUGCAUCUAUAAUCAUCAAAGAUAUUGGUCUAUAAUUUUCUUUUUUGGUACUAUCUUUGUUUGGUUUUGGUAUUAGGGUGAUGGGUGGCUUCUGUCUUCCUGAACCUUUUAGAAAAGUUCCAGAAGGAUGGCAUAAGUUCUUCCUUGUAUGUUUGGUAGAAUUCACCUGCAACACCAUCUGGUCCUGGACUUUUGUUUGUAGGGAGUGUUUUUUAUGACAUAUUCAAUUUCAUUUCCAGUGAUUGGUCUGUUCAAUUGAUCUAUUUCUUUUUUAUUCAGUUUCGGAAGGCUGUAUGUCUCUAGAAAGUUGUCCAUUUCUUCUGGGUUGUAAAAUUUGUUGGCAUACAAUUUUUCAUAUAUUCUCUUAUCUUUUUUUGUGUGUGUAUUUCUGCAGUGUCCAUUGAGAUUUCUCCAUUUCUGUUUCUUAUUUUAUUUGAGUUCUUUCCUCUUCUUGAUGAGUCUAGCCAGAGCUUUCUCAAUUUUCUUUGUCCUUUCAAAGAACCAACUCUCAUUUGGUUUCUUUCUUUCUUUUUUUUUUUUUUUUGAAUCUCUGUUUUAUUAAUUUCCUCUUUGAUCUUUAUGGUUUCCUUCCUUGUACUGGCUUUAAGUUUUGUUUGUUCUUCUUUUUGUAAUUCUUUUAGGUGGUAAGUUAAGCUGUCAAUUUGAGAUUUUUCUUCUUUUUUAAGGAAAGCCUGUAUUGCUAUGGAUGUCCCUCUAAGCAUUGCUUUUGAGGCAUCCCACAGAUUUUGAAUGGUUGUGUUUUCAUUAUCAUUUGUCUUGAGAUAUUUUUUUAAUUUCCCAUUUUGAUUUUCUCAUUGAUCCAUUGUUUUUUUAGUAUCAUGUUGUUUAAUGUCCAUGUAGUCAGUUUUUUCUCAUUUCUUUUUUUGUGAUUGAUUUCUAAUUUCAUGCCAUUGUGGUCAGAGAAGAUAAAUGGUUAAUUUCUGUACUCAAAUUUCUUUUUUUUUUUUUUUUUUUGUCUUUUUGCUAUUUCUUUGGGCCGCUCCCACGGCAUGUGGAGGUACCCAGGCUAGGGGUUGAAUCGGAGCUGUAGUCACUGGCCUAUUCCAGAGCCACAGCAACUCGGGAUCCGAGCUGCGUCUGUGACCUACACCACAGCUCAUGGCAACGCCGGAUCGUUAACCCACUGAGCAAGGGCAGGGACCGAACCUGCAACCUCAUGGUCCCUAGUCGGAUUCGUUAACCACUGCGCCACGACGGGAACUCCUCAAAUUUCUUGAGGUUAGUUUUGUGGUCAGUCCUCGAGAAUGUACUGUGUGCACUUGGAAAGAAUUGAUAUUCCGAUUUUCUUGGAUGAAAUGACCUGAAAAUAUCAAAUUAAGUCUGAUUUUUCUAUUGUGUCAUUUAAGAUCUCUGUUGCCAUAUUGAUUUUCUGUCUAGAGGAUCUGUCCAUUGAUGUGAAUGGGGUGUUGAAGUCUCCUACUAUUAUUGUAUUCCCACCAAUUUCUCCUUUGAUGUUUGUUAGUAUUUGUUGUAUGUAUUUGGGUGCUCCUGUAUUAGGGGCAUAUGUAUUGACAAGUGUAAUAUCCUCUUCUUGAAUCAACCCUUUUAUCAUUAGUGUCCUUCUUUGUCUUUGUGGCCUUCACUUUUAAGUCUAUUUUGUCUGAUAAUGAGUAUUGUAACUUAUGCUUUCCUGUCUUUUCCAUUCUUGUGAACUAUCUUUUUCCAUCCUUUCACUUUCCAUUUAUAUGUGUCCUUUGCCCUAAGGUGAGUCUCUUGUAGGCAACAUAUUUUAGGCUCUUGUUUUUUAAUCCAGUCUGCCACUCUGUCUUUUGAUUGGAGCAUUCAGUCCAUUGACAUUUAAGGUAAUUAUUGAUAAAUAUGUAUUUAUUGCCAUUUUAAAUCUUGUCUUCCAGUUGAUUUUGUGUUUCUCCUUUGUUCUUUCCUUUUUCUGGUUGGGUUAUUUACUUAUAUUUUAUGCUCGUGUCUUCUUUUUAUUGUUUGGUUUUGAUUUGUAGUUGCCCUAUUUUUCAAGUAUGUUAACCCCUUCCUAUAUUUGCUUGCUUUACCCUGAUAGUCAUUAAGGUACAAACACAUUCUAGAAAAAAGUCUAGAUUUUUUUACUUUUUCCCCCACAUUUUGAUUUUUUUUUAACAUCUUCAUGUUUAUCCUUUUGCUGUUCCUUGUGUUUAUUGUGACUUUUAUAAUUUUUUUUUUCCUUUUAGUUCUGAAUACUGGCUUAUUUAAGUGAUUGCUUUCCAGUUGUGAUUUCGUCCAGCCUAUUUCUUCUUGUUUUUUAUUUAGUGGUGCCCUUUCAGUAUUUCUUUUAGAAUGGGAUUAGUAUUACUAUACUUUUUUUAGCAUUUGUUUGUUGGAGGAAUUAUUUAUUUCUCCUUCUAUUUUACAUGAUAUUCUUGCUGGGUAGAGUAUACUAGGCUGUCAAUUUUUCCCUUUUAGAACUUUGGAUAUAUCUUGCCACUCUCUUCUGGUCUGUAGUGUUUCUGUAGAGAAAUUGGCUCUUAGCCUUAUGGGAGUUAUUUUACACUUAACUCUUUGUUUCUCUCUUGCACACUUUAGAGUCCUCUCUUUAUCUUUAAGUUUUGCCAUUUUUAUUAUAAUAUGUCUUGGUGUGGACCUGUUUGGGUUCAAUUUGUUUGGGGCCCUCUAUGCUUCCUGUAUCUUGAUAUCUGUUUCCUUUAGAUUUGGAAAGUUUUCAUCCAUGGUUUCUUGAAAUAUAUUUUCAAUCCCCUUUUCUUUUUCUUCUCCUUCUGGAAUUCCUAUUAAGCAUAGAUUGGCCUUCUGUAUAUUAUCCCAUGGAUCUCUUAUAUUACUUUCAUGUUUUUUCAUGUGGUUUUCUGUCUGAUGUCCUGAUUGGGUGAUUUCCAUUAUUCUUUUUUCCAAGUCACUAAUUCGUUCCUCUGCAUUCUUCUUCUUCUUCUUUUCUUUUUUUUUUUUUUUUUUUUUUUUUUACUGUUGGGGAAAAAACAAACCUAGUUUUUUUUUUAUAAUGAUUUUUAUUUUUUCCAUUAUAGCUGGUUUACAGUGUUCUGUCAAUUUUCUACUGUACAGCAAGGUGACCCAGUUACACAUACAUGUAUAUAUUCUUUUUUCUCACAUUAUCAUGCUCCAUCAUAAGUGACCAGAUAUAGUUCCCAGGGGUAUACAGCAGGAUCUCAUUGCUUAUCCAUUCCAAAGGCAAUAGUUUGCCCUCUGCAUUACUCAUUCUGCUCUUCAGUGCCUUUAACUCAGUUUGAAUCUCUGCAAAUGAAUUUUCUAAUUUUUCUUGGCUCCUCAUAUUUUCUAAUUCCUUUCUAAUGUAAUCUGCAUUACUUUUCAUAUCCAUUCUUAGUUCCUUCAUAUUCCCCCUUAAUUCCUUCAGUAGUUUCACUAUCUCCUUUUUGAACUUGGUGUCUGUUAGACUCCAGAGGUCUGUUUCAUUGUUUGCUCCUUCAGGGGAAUUCUCCGGUUCUUUUAACUGGGAAUGGUUCCUGAGCUUCUCUAUUUUGCUUAUAUUUUUCUUAUUCUGUGAGUUCAGGGAAACCAAAUACUGUAGUCUUGGGGGGCUAUUUAUACACGAGAGUGCACCUAUGCAUUUUGUGAGUGCUUACUGUUUUAUUUUGGCAUGAGGUUUUGGAUGCUUGCUGUCUCUUUCCUUGGUGUGUGCAGGUUGUUAUCCCCUUGAUAGAGUGCUGUGCAUGCUUCCAGGGAGAUGGAGGCAAUGGGCAGGGCUAGUAGCCAGUGCCUGGUUGCUGGGUCCUUGACAGUAGCAAGGACCCACUAGAAGGUGGUGCAGGCUUCUCCUAGUUGCAGGGUCUCAGGCAGGUUUGGGUGGUACCUAGAACAUGUGGCAGUUGCAGUGGCAGGGUGUGUGCAUUCCUGGGGGAGUAAGAGCAACAGCAGGUUGUGCUUGGUUGCAGUGCCCUCCUCUGUGUUGACCUCUGAGGUGACUGGGGCCACAGGUGGUGCCUGUUCAUGGACCCCUAGUGGUGGCUGGCCACGCUCACCACUGGAAUCAGAGAUAACUGUGAGUGUUUGCCCCUGCUGCCUGUAAACCAUGUGAGAAGUGCCCCGUCAUGCUUAGCUCACACAGGAGGUACCACCAUCCUAGUUGGCACAGGAGGAGUCAUUGCCUGUAGCCCAUACAAGAGGCACCUUGCUGCCUGUAGGCCUGCCUUCCAGCAGUCCGUGCAUGCACAGAUAAAGACAUUCCUAUGAUGGUCUGCUCCUCCUACUCUUGCCCUCUUCAACAGUGAUGCCUUGCUUCUCCUGCAGGCCCAGACCUCCUCCUUCCUCCUGGGUUCUCUCAGCUUUGGUGCUCUGCUCCCCAGUUCCCUCAGGCUGUCUCCACACUGCCAACUCUAAUCCUCCCCCUGGAACUGACCUCCAGAGCCUGAGUCUCAGUGCCCAGCCCCUGCCCCAGCAUCUUAGAUUGUGGUUUCCAGGAGUGAUGGUACCUGUGGUCUGUUUGUGUGUGUCUCUUUCUCUCUGCUUUGACCUCCUCAGUCCAGCUGCUGUGCUUUUCUCUCUGGCUUUGAGGUCCUUCCAUCUCAGCUAAUCUCCUAGUCAGUUAGGUGGCUUCCCAGGGUGUGGGUUCCUUUUCUCUUUCACAGCUCCUUCUCAGCAGGGCUGGUCCCAUCCUGAUUGCUUUUUUCUCUCUCUGUCUCUCUCUCUCUCUGUCUCUCUCUCUUUUCUUUACCCUUUGUUCUACCCAGUUAUGUGGAGGGUUUCUUGUCCUUUUUUGAUGUUUAAGGUCUGCCAGCAUUCAGUAGAUGUUCUAUGCAAAUUGUUCAACAUGUAUAUAUAUAUUUUUUUGUCUUUUUAGGGCUGCACCCACGGCAUAUGAAGGUUCCCAGGCUAGGGGUCGAAUUGGAGCUGUAGCUGCCAGCCUGUGCCACAGUCAAAGCAAUGCAGGAUCUGAGCCAUGUCUACAACCUACACCACAGCUCACAGCAAUGCUGGAUCCUUAACCCACAGAGUGAGCCAGGGCUCGAACCCUCAACCUCAUGGUUCCUAGUUGGAUUCAUCUCCACUGCGCCAUGACGGAAACUCCUAAAUGGUUUUUUUUUUUUUUAAUGUGUUUGUGGGGGAAAGUGAGUGCCACGUCUUACUCCUCUGCCAUCUUGAUCCUACCUCCUUCUGCACAUUUUUUGAUUGAGGUUUUUGUUGUUGUUGAAUUGUAUAAGCUGUUUGUAUAUAUUGGGAUUUAAGCCCCUGUUGGUUGCAUCAUUUGCAAAUAUUUUCUUCCAUUCCAUACAUUGUCUUUUUAGGUUUUUUUUUAUGUUAUCCUUUGCUGUGUAAAAGCUGGUAAGUUUGAUUAAGUCCCAUUUAUUUAUUUUUGCUUUUACUUCUAUUGCCUUGCGAAUAAGAAAACUUUGGUACAAUUUAUGUCAAAAAAUAUUUUGCCUAUGUUCUCUUCUAGGAGUUUUAUGGUGUCAUGUUUUAUGUUUAAGUCUCUAUGCCAUUUUGAGUUUUUUUUUUUGUAUAUUUUGGAUAGUAACCCCUUAUCUGUUAUGUGAUUUGGAAAUGUUUUCUUCUGUUCUUAAGGUUGUCUUUUCAUUUCGUUGAUGGUUUCCUUUGUUGUGCAGGAGAAUUUUUAUGACAAUAGGACAAGUUCCUUUUAACUAGUACUUAGAUUUUAGUACUUGUUUUUAAACAGACAAAAACAAGGAAAAUGUACAGUACCUAGAAAGCUGGAGAAAUCAGGAGAAAACAGUUCUUUAGUGUCUAAUGCUCUUUCUUGUUCCUAUUGGCUAUAUAGUAGCAAAGUAAUAAAAACAACAAGGCCUUAAAAUUAAGAAUGACUUCUCCAUUGGCCAAGAUAAUAAAGCAGACAUUUGUGAAAAGCAGAUAGGGUCAGAAUGAUUUCUGAUGAAUCAGCCUCCAUUCAUUGUCAAUACCAGGUUCAUUAUCAAUACCAUUAAAAAUAGGUACUUGGUGUUUUGCUAGAAACGUGUGGCUGAGGCAUAUGGUGGCUUUAAGUUGCCGCUGGAGCAAAAGCUGCCACACUUGAAGGUGGUGUAAUAGAAAUAGGCUCAGGUGGAGUUCCCGUUGUGGCUCACUGGAUUAAGAACACAACAUAGUGUCCAUGAGGAAGUAGGUUCCCUCCCUGGCCUUGCUCAGUAUGUUAAUGAU
rnacentral:lncRNA from 1 species